rnacentral:tRNA from 1 species
GGGGAUUUAGCUCAGUGGUAGAGCGCUUGCCUAGCAAGCGCAAGGCCCUGGGUCUGAUCCCCA